CACAGAGGCCGGUCACCUGUGGCAAGGUUCUGCACGACGCCGGCCGCCGCGGUGUGGAAGAUGAUGUCCGCGCCCUCGUUCAGUGGGGCUGAGACGGAUCAGACGAGCUCCUAAUUCAAUCUGACGCGCACGUAUUGUGGGCAGGGCCCCCGUGCCAGGGCUGUGCUGGUUGGUGUGAAUGAGUGUAAGAAGAGG